GUUAGGGCUGACAACAUGAAAAAUGAAAUUCAACGAAGAAGUCUCAAACUUGUGAUAUAUACUCUACUAUAUGAUAGUAAUACAGAUGCACCUUCAAAUCCCAGUUACCGCUACAAUUUGUCUUGCAAUGGUGCUGCUUAUUUCACAAAAUUUACCUGAAAGUUCAAAGGUCAUGAUGGGCUCUAUAAAGUGUCAUUUUUUGAAAUUCUUAUCAGAGCUUACCUCACUGUUUUGAUUCUAUCCAUUACUGUUACUAACUAGGAGCAUAAUAAUCAACUGAAAACUGGAAAAGAAUCUCACAGUACUGAUCGAGUUAGCAGAUAUAGAGUACUUUGGAGCUGUCGAGAAAAAUGAAGACCAUUGUUGCUGCAGCAAGUCACCGACUCACCGAUCCUUAUCAAUUGAACAAUUACACCACAUGCAUACAUAAUUUAUGCAUGGCCAAAGCAAACAAUUAUUUACAUUACAAUGUUAUUAAUGUUAUCUUUUGUCAUGGUGAAUAAGUGCUUGCUAUAAAUUAAGUAAUCCUUAGAUUGUUAAUAAUUAGGUCUUCAAGUAAAUUAAAGUGGCAAUGUUCAUCUUCGUCUUCAUAUGCAACUUCAUGUAAAUUUGUCUGGGUAUCAUAGGAAACUACGAAACCCCGGAACCAUUCAAACUCUCCAACAUCAACUUCAAACUUUUGUUCGAUAGAUUUGCCAACUAGGCUAGCUGGAUCGUGACAACAGUGGUCACCACUAGGUUCUUGAGUUUCCAUGAAUUUUAGUAGUUCGAAUGCUAUAGUGGCUAGAGGACGCUUCUUUCCACGUUGAGAUAAUGGUAUUUUUAUUUCUUGCUUAUAAACUUUCUUGCGGAUAUUAAUCUGGUCUUUUAACAAAGAUAACUUUUUGUCCCUUUUUUUGGCUGCAGAAAGACUGGAUUCCUCAAUAUCUGCAAGAGCUCCUCGAAGCUCAGUAGCAGAGGUGAUUAAUUGAAGUUGUCCUAAUUUCAUUAGCUCUUCUUGGGUUCUUUUUUUCAAAGCGUCUCUCCUCUGUUUUUGCUCGUAAAGUUUUUUAGUUCUUUGUGCUUUAAUAAAUUCUUGUUCUUCUUUAGAGUCAGUUUUUACUCUUGCUCUUCUUGCAGCAGCGAGAGUCACAACUUGGUCGCGUUCUUCCUGGGGAAGUUCCCUAAGCCAAAGCAUCGUUUUAUUUUUCUUUGUUUCGAUCAAGUUGGAGCGUGUCAAUUGUGAUAAAUUUGGAAUACUAGUAGUUAAGUGAUCGUUUAAGCCCAGUAGACUUUCACAUAUAUCAUUUGUUGGAGGUAAUUUUUUGAGAAUUUCCUUUACUUCUGCCUCAGGAUCCCAAUAUAUUCCAUUUGGUAAUUGAUUUUUAGCGUAGGCACCCAGUUUUUUUUUCAUUGCUGAAACUCCACUAGCAAUUAGAGGAAAAAGCUUAUCGUCGUCGAAAGAAUCAGUUUGAAAUAACCUCUUUUCGACAUGAGAAUACUUCGAAUGAACUCGAUGGUUUGUCAUUUCGCUUCCAUAGAGGCGGUCUUCAGAAGGAAAAACUCUCAUUUCUUCGCACAUUAUUGCCUGUGGUUCUUUCUCAAUUUCUGCAAGAAACAAUGACAGUUCCAAGUAAUGCAUAUUCAUGUCCCAUGCAGACUUUGAUAGUGCUGUAGACUUGGCCAAUGUCAUGAGAUCAGCAUACACAUGAUGAAAUAUGAGGGCAUCAGCUUUGAGCUUGGAUAUCUCAUCGGUGUCCUGCAACUUAUUGUACACAUCGCGUUCCAAUUUGUUUCCAUCAGUGCUUUUACCACAAUACUCGAGAAAAUCACACGCAGCAGAGAUAAGGAAUAAAAUUUUUCCUGCGUUAUGGGCAGUCACAAAGUAUCGGCUCCCUACCUGACGGUCUAAAAAGGUUUUGCUGCACAACGUAUAGUACUCUCUUUGGUCAGCAGAAAGGUGUUGUUCGUUAAGCAUUAAAUUUAGAAAGUCAAGAAAGCUUGAUGCACCACAUCCAUAUUCUGGAACUCCAUGGCGACCAAAAAGUUUACAAAACUCGUGAACUAGAGUGUCAGUCUGAUAAUACUCACGUCUUUCACUUGCAUUGCUGCUGCAGCUAGAUUCAGUCUUCAGCCCCUCGAGAAACGCUUUACGUAAGUUUAUUCCGAGGUGCAUAGCACAAAAAUUCUCAAUGAUGUCCACUGCAUCACCAUUCGCAGGCCCAAAAACACUCUCAUCCUCUUCUCGCUUCUUUUCAAGUAAUUGAUUAAACUUUUUUUGUGUUGAUGCUGAGUCUGAGGUUGAGGCAGACACAAGUGUCCAGUUGAUUUUGUCGGCAUUCGGUAUUUUCAAUACACGAGCAAUAUCCCUCAGCUUUUCAAUCUCUCUAGACAUAUCAGCAAUCAUACUCUCAGCACUUCCAUCAGGGAGCUCGUUAACCGAGAUCACCAAUCCAUUAAAAACUGUGCCUCCAAUUUUUCUCUGAAACUUGGUUGUCCCAUCAGAGUUUGAAUUUGCUUCAGAUAAAACUUUUGCUUUGUGAACCAUGCUUACAGUUUUUAACUCGUGUUGUCGCAUAUACUUAGCACAGCUCUCACUUGGCAAUUGCAGAUUCUCAACAUCAGCUAAAGGAAAGAAACACUUAAUAACAGCUUUAAUCGUAGUUUUAAUUUUUCCAAGGGGCACCUGAUCUGCAAGAAGCUGGUAAUAUAGAGCUCUGAGAGCAGGUGUAUACUGUCCGUUAUCAAUUGUGUGAAAAAUCAUCUGACUAUGAUCUACUAGUGAACUUGCUUCUGUUGUUGACGGUAGAUAUGGUACCAGCAGCUUUGCAUACUUAGAUAGGUGUGAGUUCUGCUCUAGUAGUUCUUCUUCGUAGUGUGUGUGGUCUUGGUAGAGAUGUUCAUAGCUUUCAAUUGCUUUUAAUUUGCUAUUUAAUACAGCUUUGUUUUUUCUCUCCAGGGAAAUAACUUUCUUUGUGGCAUUUUUAACUGUUUGAUCCCGUUCUGUUUCAGUACUACACAGUUUCCUCUUUACUAGGUCUAGUUCUGCAUCUGUUUCUGUCAGUUUGGAUGCCAUAUUCUUAAUUAAAAGAUCGUGUUCUUUCAAUUCUUUUCUUAGAAGAUGAAUUUGCUGGUAACCAACCCCAUAGCUCAUGUGACUACAAGCAGGUUCAUCAGACAAAACGAUCUUUUCGACAAAUUGAUAAAUGUUGUCAGGACGUGAUCCUUUUUGUCUUAGACUGCGAUCAAUUCUGAUGUAGAAUCGCCCUAUGCUUGUUUUCGUCAUAAAUCGAGAUUUUGGCCACUUUAGUAAGAAUUUAUGUAAGCAUCUAUAAAAUCCAACAGUAGUUCCAUCUUUAACACACCAAUCACGUUCUUGGAUGAGAGCUGCUUCCAGAAAUUCUUCGUUCAAACCACAUUCAACCAAUUUCUCGGGAAAAGGAGUCGAAUCAAUAUCUGAAAUGAACACAUCUAUUAACAACGCACAGGGACUCCAAAAUCAGAACAAAAAACAAAACACAGUCCUCAGAUGUCCAUAACACUAAGCCAUCAUAGGGAAUUUCAUGAAAUAUCAUUUGAACUACUAACAACCAGCUACUUUGGUUUACAUGUGUAGCAUCAAACGUUAUAUGCUAACCUGUUGGUGGUGGAUUGCGAAUUUUAGGGGUCCAUAUUCUUUUCAUAUAAGAACGAAGAGAAUCUCCAUCAAACUUGCUUUUUCCAACCAUAGAUGGUCUGGUUGGUGCUGCAAUCCUUUGAAGUGUAUCAAGAAACCGGCUUGGUCGACCAAUGUAUAUAGAAGGGUAUUGUUCCUUAAAAAGGGUCACAAGCAACUCAGACAGCUCCACAUCCUCUUCAUCACAUCUCAACUCCGCUACAUGAAGUAGCUCAAUUAAUUCACCAUAAGUAGCCAUUUAUCUGAAAAUAAUAUACAAUAAAUCAUUACAGCUAACUUAUAGAGUGCUCAAAAGUUACUCACAUAGUAACAAGUAAUUCUCUAACAUAGUAUACCCUAUAGACAUAUUCUGUGGCUAGCCAGUAUAGGUAUAAGGGAUUCGUACACUGUAUGUGGUGUAUAAAUGAUAAAAAAUCAGACUAAGCACUAAAGAAGACGGAAACUUAAGUUUUAAAGUAAUCCAUAGAGAUCACUGAGUUGUACAGCAGCUUUAAAGCUUCUAAAAUCAAUAGAUUAGGGCUUAUACUGUGACUUACAGAAGACUAUAUUGCAUACGAUCAUAGUACAUUUUUCACAGAUGGGUAGAAGUGUUCGAAACAAACUAUAUUAACUAAGCACAGUGCUGAGGGACAUAUCAAUACAUUGGGACCCUAAGGGCCACCUGGGAACCUGCACAUUUCCAGUGUAUCACCAAAAUGCUUGACCUACUAAAAUUGUUUAUAUGCUGCUAGCCCUGAAAUACCUACCUGUGAGAUUCUUUCCCAGUUUUCAGCUGAUUAAUAUGUUCCUAGUUGGUACCAGUAGUAGAUAAGAAUCAAAACAGUGAGGUAAAUUUUGUGAAAUAAGCAGCACCAUUGCAAGACAAAUUGUAGCGGUAACUGGGAUUUGAAGGUGCAUCUGUAUUACUAUCAUAUAGUAGAGUAUAUAUCACAAGUUUGAGACUUCUUCGUUGAAUUUCAUUUUUCAUAUUGUCAGCCCUACCUAAGUGUCUAAGUGUUGGUAGUGUAUGAUGGUGUUGACUAAUCCAUGACCUCCAGUCCUGCAUGAGGAGGGAGGGAGACACAAGAUUCAGCAACUAGCAAACCAAUGGCACUCUCACAGUUAAUAUACAAUACCAGUUGACAUUAUGUAUUGCUGUACUCAGUACAAUUCACUAUUGCAUGGCACAACUGACGAGUAAGCUCACAAAGGUAAUGGUCAAAGGGAUGAUUCACUAGGUAACUCACAUGUAUGCUCCACACAGGCCUUGUGAAUGCUGCGAACUGCCUCUCCGUCCUCAAUCUUUGCAGCAAUCUCCACUAAUCGAUCAGCGGUGUGAAAUCUCCCUGGGAUAUUAACAAUGGUCAGAUCAAUAGCACCAAUCUCAGCAUCGCUGAGGCCCAGCCUGAGCUUGUAUCUGUCAUAGCCAGCAAUCUCGGUAGACAACUGGAGUAGAGCUUCAUCCGAGC